rnacentral:rRNA from 1 species
UAAGGGUUCCUGGGUCAAGCUGAUCUGCCCAGGGUAAGUCGGGACCUAAGGCGAGGCCGACAGGCGUAGUCGAUGGACAACCGGUUGAUAUUCCGGUACCCGCUUUGAAACGCCCAAUAUCGAAUCAGACGAUGCUAAGCCCGUGAAGCCGUUCCGGAYCCUUCGGGUGAAGGGAAGUGGUGGAGCCGGUGACCCGGAGCUGUAGUAGGUAAGCGAUGGGGUGACGCAGGAAGGUAGUCCAGCCCGGGCGGUGGUAGUCCCGGGGUAAGGGUGUAGGGCGCUGUCUAGGCAAAUCCGGACAGCAUGAAGCCUGAGACCUGAUGCCGAGCCGAUUGUGGUGAAGUGGAUGAUCCUAUGCUGUCGAGAAAAGCCUCUAGCGAGUUUCAUGGCGGCCCGUACCCUAAACCGACUCAGGUGGUCAGGUAGAGAAUACCGAGGCGUUCGGGUGAACUAUGGUUAAGGAACUCGGCAAAAUGCCCCCGUAACUUCGGGAGAAGGGGGGCCAUGUCUGGUGAGGGAACUUGCUUCCUGAGCUGGGUGUGGCCGCAGAGACCAGCGAGAAGCGACUGUUUACUAAAAACACAGGUCCGUGCGAAGCCGUAAGGCGAUGUAUACGGACUGACGCCUGCCCGGUGCUGGAACGUUAAGGGGACCGGUUAGC